rnacentral:rRNA from 1 species
UACGUAGGGUCCGAGCGUUGUCCGGAAUUACUGGGCGUAAAGAGCUCGUAGGUGGUUUGUCGCGUUGUUCGUGAAAACUCACAGCUCAACUGUGGGCGUGCGGGCGAUACGGGCAGACUGGAGUACUGCAGGGGAGACUGGAAUUCCUGGUGUAGCGGUGGAAUGCGCAGAUAUCAGGAGGAACACCGGUGGCGAAGGCGGGUCUCUGGGCAGUAACUGACGCUGAGGAGCGAAAGCGUGCGGAGCGAACAGG